GGUAUUGAAGGAACUAGAUACUGUUCCGAAAUAUCACUUACUCGAACCGUCCUGACCGCGUAGCUCAGUUGGAAGAGCAUUGGGCUAGUAUUCCAAAGGUCGUAGGUUCGAAUCCCACCGUGGCCGGGCAUAUUUUUCAAGCUCGCCCGGUGUGGAUAUGCACUCAGAGUAACAUCACAAACAUAUUAGAGAGUUUGAGCAAGACAACGAAGUCGGACGACGACGACGUGGUUGACAAUUUUUGCCUGUCUUGCACAUUACCUUGCACAUUCUGAGUUUAGGGUCAGGAGUGAAGACAGAUUAGAGAUUUAUGCCUAGCUGUUUGUGAAUGGUGACCCAAAUCCUUACCCUGAUCAGGAUAAAACAGCGAGACAUGAAUCCAUAUCCCGUCUUCGUCUUCUGCCUUCGUUCACAACGAAUACUUUCGCAAAUUUCGUUGUGAAACUCGUUCUGCACGAAGGCAGAAGGACAAAGACGGGAUAUAGUUUCAUGUCUCGCUGUUUUUUUCUGGAUCAGGGCAAGACUUAUGGUCAGUAUUCAUAAACAGCGACACAUGGGAAGAUACGUUGUGCAACCACCAGUGACGUCCAACUCAGUAUGCGCAAGAUAAUGGACAUACGGCAAAAAUUGUCAAGUAUGCCUUCGUCUUCGUACUUCGUUGUCUUGCUCAAACUCUCUAAUAUCCACCUGAGUACACAACACCAGCACAGAAAAAAUUCAUAUUACAAGAACACAUUGGUACUGAAGGAACUAGAUACUGUUCCGAAAUAUCACUUACUCGAACCGUCCUGACCGCGUAGCUCAGUUGGAAGAGCAUUGGGCUAGUAUUCCAAAGGUCGUAGGUUCGAACCCCACCGUGGCCGGGCAUAUUUUUCAAGCUCGCCCGGUGUGGAUAUGCACUCAGAGUAACAUCACAAACAUAUUAUCCACCUGAGUACACAACACCAGCACAGAAAAAAUUCAUAUUACAAGAACACAUUGGUACUGAAGGAACUAGAUACUGUUCCGAAAUAUCACUUACUCGAACCGUCCUGACCGCGUAGCUCAGUUGGAAGAGCAUUGGGCUAGUAUUCCAAAGGUCGUAGGUUCGAAUCCCACCGUGGCCGGGCAUAUUUUUCAAGCUCGCCCGGUGUGGAUAUGCACCCAGAGUAACAUCGCAAACAUAUUAUUCACCUGAG